rnacentral:lncRNA from 1 species
AUACGACCAGAAAUUCUGGUUUGUGACAACAGAACUUUUUUUCAGUGUGUGUUGUGUUUUACCACCUUUUUCAUUGCCCUUGGCAAAACUAUUUAGGAACAUGGAAAUGUGUCAAAAUAUUUAAUCUCAAAUUACACCAUGUGCAAUGCAGAUUACCAAUCGUUUUUAAAAUCAAACUUUUCUUUAUCUGGAAAUACAGAAAAAUAACUGAAAGUCUUAAAAAAUUUUGAGCCAUCAGCCCAUUUUCUUUUUUCUUUCAUGCCAACACAGGCCUGGCAUGCUUCACAACGGUGUCUUGCUAUGGAAAAUGCCUUAUGGAAAUUUGAAUGUAGCAAAAUUUCUCCAUAUAAAAAUUUCAGUCCAAAGGAAAUUUAUGAUUAGUUUUCUUUGAAAUUCUCCGUUACGCUGGAUUAAAUUGUGAGUUAUAUUCUCUGAAAAAUUCGAGAGGAAGACCGAAGAACACACAAGUUUUUUAAGGAAUUUCAUGCCUUUGUUACGCGAAUUUAGGUUGCUUACCUAUGAAUUAAAGUUUGCAAAAAGGAAUCAAGAGCAUUUCAGUGUCGGCAUGAUUGUGCAACUUUUUUUACCAUGAAUAUUUAAACUGAUCAGUCAUCUUAACAAGUUUUAUACCUACUCCCAAUAAAUCAUAAAUUCAAGACGAAAAUUCCCUUUGUGAAAAUUGUCUGCAUGAUCUCGGUAAUUUUAUUGCGAAGAAUGCUAGUUACACAAUCCUAGCAACGCUCUUGGUUCCUUUUUGCAAAAUGCAGUCCAUAUAAUGUUACCUUUUGAGGAUUUUUUCGGCUCCAGGAAGUGGACUUGUUUGCCCAUAUGUUCGAGAAGCCAUUUGUCGGCUUCAUACUCGUCGUUCUUCUCUUUGAAUUCCGUGAAGUUUAGCCUCUUGGAUAUUAGUAGUUCCUUAAGGAUUGGAUUGAUUCGGCACUCGCAAUCCACUAGGUCUCUUUGUUUCUCUCCGUGUACCAUAAUAAAUUUGUUAUUAUUGAGGACCCCGAUCAUGAGGAAAAUGAGGGAACCUUUGGUCGCUCCAUCUAUGUACCCAUGCGAUUUCCGACAUUUUUCUGUACAGCUCGUCUCAUCCUCAACUGGAGCAUCAUCAUCGCUUCCCUGUCCAUGUACUAAUAAUGAUAGCCCAUGCCCCUUCAACCACGUGUUCAUUUUCUCCCACUCGCUCUGCUUGCGGAGCUUUUCGAAUAUCCGCGUGUUGAUAUUCUUGUGAUGCAGGUAAUUCAUAAGAACCUCGCUGCUCUUGCAUUCGCAUUUUUUCGACCUCGACCAGAUUCGUGACGGACGAAUAUACCCCUCUGUGAUCCAUGCCCGCACUACCUUAUCUUUUGUCUCGACUAAGCGGUAUCCGGCCUCCUUGUGGCACUUGUCUUUGCAUUCCUCUUCGCUUAGCUCAUGCUCUCGUUCUGAAAUCAAUUGACAUGAUAUAUUUAUUGUGACACAGUUGGGCAAAAUCCACAUCAAAGUGGAAGAGAAGAAAAGAUAACUAUAUCACAGCUAAGAGGGUUUCCUCUUUGGCCUCUUCUUGUUUACCUGAUGCGUCCUUUCCAGCCGUUGGACUCCUCGUUGUAACAUGUAUAUGUUACGGGCAUAUCCCGUUUCCGGGCAGAUCCAGUUUCGCCCGGGCCAGGUCAGCCCGGGCGGACCUAGAUGCGCUCGGGCCAGGUCAGCCCGGGCGGACCUAGA